UGAGGAAUAUUGGUCAAUGGGCGCAAGCCUGAACCAGCAAUGCCGCGUGUGGGAUGAAGGGGCUCUGCCUCGUAAACCACUGUCGGACGGGACGAAAAGGGGUAUAAACCCCUGGGACGGUACCGUCAAAGGAAGGGGCGGCCAACUACGUGCCAGCAGCCGCGGUAAUACGUAGGACCCGAGGGUUGUCCGGAUCCACUGGGUAUAAAGGGAGCGCAGGCGGUCAUGUGCGUCAGAGGGGAAAUAGCC
rnacentral:rRNA from 1 species